UUGUAGUAGUAUGAAUAUUUUCCGACGAGAGCUGGAGCAGGAAAUGGACGUCAUUGACAGAAUCCGAAGUUUGCAGCAAAGGCGACAAGGACAAGAAGGGCUCUUUUUAUAUGGAACACUGACAAAGGAGGUAUCCAAUAAAAACAUGUUAUUCUGGAUUUUCUGACAUUCAUUUUGUAUUAUCUGUUUUCAUAAUACAACAAGAACUGAAUAGGAAUUUUUCAAAAAUAAAAAAUUUAUCACA
ensembl:antisense_RNA anr-12 ncRNA